rnacentral:ncRNA from 1 species
CACUGUUUUGGUCCUAGACAUAACAUUAUCUAUUUAAAGUCUUACACAUGCUAGUAUCCGCACCCCAGUGCUUAAACUCACACCCUGUAAAUCAGACAUGAGACAGGUAUCAGGUACACCCAAUUGGUAGCCAAUGACACCUAGCAACGCCACACCCCCACGGAAUUCAGCAGUGAUAAACAUUAAGCCAUAAGCAAAAGCUUGACUUAGUCAAAAUGAUUUUUAAGGGUUGGUAAACCUCGUGCCAGCCACCGCGGUUAUACGAGCGGACCCAAGAUAAUAUUCCUUCGGCGUAAAGCGUGAUCAAAGUAGCAGUAUUUUAAAUUAUAUAAAUUAUAGUAAAGUUGUAAAAUACCUAUAACUAUAAGAAAUCCAACUAUAAUUACAUACACCACCUUUACUCACGAAAACUAGAACACAAACUAGGAUUAGAUACCCUACUAUGUCUAGUCGUUAAAUCUAAGCAAACACCCACUAAUUUGCUCGCCAGAAAAUUACAAGCGAAAGCACAAAAUUCAAAGGACUUGACGGUGUUCCACAUCAGCCUAGAGGAGCCUGUCCCAUAAUCGAUAACCCACGUUUUACCUCACCUACUCUUGCUACUUCAGCCUGUAUACCGCCGUCGCCAGCCCAUCUAAUGAUAGAACUAAAAUGGACAAAAUUGUUUUAACCACAAAAACGUCAGGUCAAGGUGCAGCUAAUGAAUAGGCUGAGAUGGGCUACAUUUUUUAAUUUAAAAAAUCACUACGAGCAACAUGAAACAAAGAGCUAUCAAAGGUGGAUUUAGCAGUAAAUAUGUGCAAGUUAUGCCACAUUGAAACUUGUCCUGGAACGCGUACACACCGCCCGUCACCCUCAUCAACAAAAAUCAAUUUAUUAAAUAAAUCGUCUUAGCAAUAAAGAUGAGGCAAGUCGUAACAUGGUAAGCGUACUGGAAAGUGCGCUUGGAAACAA